UACGUAGGGGGCUAGCGUUGUCCGGAUUUAUUGGGCGUAAAGAGCGUGUAGGCGGCCAGGUAGGUCCGUUGUGAAAACUGGAGGCUUAACCUCCAGACGUCGACGGAAACCGCGUGGCUAGAGUCCGGAAGAGGAGAGUGGAAUUCCUGGUGUAGCGGUGAAAUGCGCAGAUAUCAGGAAGAACACCCGUGGCGAAGGCGGCUCUCUGGGACGGUACUGACGCUGAGACGCGAAAGCGUGGGGAGCGAACAGG
rnacentral:rRNA from 1 species